rnacentral:tRNA from 1 species
GCCUGGCUGGCUCAGUUGGUAGAGCAUGCGACUCUUGAUCUCAGGGUCAUGAGUUCGAGUCCCACGUUGGGCA